UGGGGAAUAUUGCACAAUGGGCGAAAGCCUGAUGCAGCGACGCCGCGUGAGGGAAGACGGCCUUCGGGUUGUAAACCUCUUUCAGCCCCGACGAAGCGAAAGUGACGGUAGGGGCAGAAGAAGCGCCGGCCAACUACGUGCCAGCAGCCGCGGUAAGACGUAGGGCGCGAGCGUUGUCCGGAUUUAUUGGGCGUAAAGAGCUCGUAGGCGGCUUGUUGCGUCGACUGUGAAAACCCGCGGCUCAACCGUGUGGUCUGCAGUCGAUACGGGCAGGCUAGAGUUCGGUAGGGGAGACUGGAAUUCCUGGUGUAGCGGUGAAAUGCGCAGAUAUCAGGAGGAACACCGGUGGCGAAGGCGGGUCUCUGGGCCGAUACUGACGCUGAGGAGCGAAAGCGUGGGGAGCGAACAGGAUUAGAUACCCCUGUAGUCC
rnacentral:rRNA from 1 species